rnacentral:sRNA from 1 species
UCUUCUUCUUCUUUAAUUUUCUUCUUGAUAAUCUCUUUUAUACAGAGACUCGGUGUGAAUUCCGAUGAUCCAAUUAGUAGUCUUUGAAGAAGUGAAAAGCCCAUGACGAUGAUGAUCUCCUCUGCAACAUGAUGAUCCGUAAGAGUUGAAUUCACUUUUCUCCGAUGAGUCGCGGUGGAGCCAAGGCGGCUGUUAACGGCGACUAGACCACGUUUGUUCUCAACGAUCCGUACGAUUACGUCUUACGAGGCGUUCUUAGCAAGCCAUCUCUUGAAGCCACAUGUUGCAUAUCGGCUUGGAUUGGAGGUAUGAGAUUCGCUUGCACGAUUACUUUGGGGGAGAAAGCUUCGACUAAGGAGGAGGACGCGAAUCAGAGGAAAACAGAGAACGAAUCCACCGGUGGAGACAAAGGAAUCGCGAGUUAUUAGGGUUUCACAACCUUUAGUAAAGAAGAUUUUUCAUGUUCAAGCAGAGGCUCCAAGCAAUCUUUGUUACGGAACAUUACAGAAGACAAGUGACGAUUCAAAAACUGAACUCCAUUACCAAUCGAAGACGAACGAGAAGGACGUAGCACGUUUGCAUUGUUUUCAUUCUCAAUUCUCGCCGUAACAGAGUCUCACAAAAGUCGAAGAGCUAAUGAUGAUGAGAGUUUUUUUUUGAUGAUACAUUCUUUCCACAAUCUCUCUAUUUUAUGUGGGAGUUUUCAUGACUUUUGUUAUGAAGAAAAUUAUGUACAAUCAAUCCUAA